AUUGAACGCUGGCGGCAUGCCUUACACAUGCAAGUCGAACGGCAGCGCGGGAGCAAUCCUGGCGGCGAGUGGCGAACGGGUGAGUAAUACAUCGGAACGUGCCCAAUCGUGGGGGAUAACGCAGCGAAAGCUGUGCUAAUACCGCAUACGAUCUACGGAUGAAAGCAGGGGAUCGCAAGACCUUGCGCGAAUGGAGCGGCCGAUGGCAGAUUAGGUAGUUGGUGAGGUAAAGGCUCACCAAGCCUUCGAUCUGUAGCUGGUCUGAGAGGACGACCAGCCACACUGGGACUGAGACACGGCCCAGACUCCUACGGGAGGCAGCAGUGGGGAAUUUUGGACAAUGGGCGAAAGCCUGAUCCAGCCAUGCCGCGUGCAGGAUGAAGG
rnacentral:rRNA from 1 species